rnacentral:lncRNA from 1 species
AUGUAUACGUAUAUGUGGACCAAAAUUAUGGGAAUAUAUGAUGAUUUUACAAAGAAAAAAAAUAAAGUAAAAGAAAAUACUUUCUUUGAUCUUGUUGUUGGCUGACUUGAAUUUCUUCCAUGUGAAGGAAAAAUCGUGCUUUCAUUAUUUCCCUAUCCCUCUCACCGGUGAGGUGGGCCAAGACUUUAUUAUAUCGAUUAGAGAAAAUUUAUCCUUUCAUAUAAAUUAAUUAAAGAGUUUGCGAUGAUGUUAAAUUACAAGAGAACAAAAAAGAGAAGUGAUCAUAGUCAUUAUUUAUAUGAAAUUCAUUAAUUUAACUAUAAUCUUUAUAACAACAUAUUCUCACUUAAAAUAAAAUCCGUACAAAAUACAGUAACUUUGAUUCUUAAAUGCAUUUACAUUUUCAUUUUCUAAAUUUAAGUCAUUUAUAUCACUUAUCAUUAUAUUUUCAUUUACAUUUUCAUAUUUUUGCUUACCAAUUGCUUCUCUUUUCAAUACUAACAUUAUGAAGUCUUUUGAAUCGAUUAAGAUUAGACAAAAAAUUAUAAAUAAUACUGAUAUUUUAUUAUUAAAAAGUUAAAAACUAUAAAUAAAAUUUCAUUUAAAGAGUUUCAGUUUAUAAAAAGUUUCGUCAAUCUAAAAAUUUUCUCUCUAAACUUGAUUUACUUUUUAUCUAAGAUCAUAAUAUUUUUGAAAAUCCAAACUUAUGUGGUGUUAUGAAUAAGAAAUCUAUCGAAUCAUAUUUUCCUAUAUAGUGAGUUAUGUUUUUGUUAUUUUUUUGAAUCAAUUAUAGAUUAUAUGUUGCAUGUGACCUUUGAGGAGGUUUGUGUUGUGUGGUGAUGUGUGAGUAAAAUGUAAUUGCAUUCACAUCUUAGUUUAGGUCAUUUGUAUACAUAAUUGUAUUGAUUUAAGGAUUUAGUCAUGCAUUAUCUUUGUUUCGGAUCAUACAUUGGGAUUUUGUGCUUUUUGUGUAGAUUGGUGAAAUCUAAGUGUCAAAAAUCACAACUUGGGAUGAAUUGAUGUACAAGAGACAAAGAUGAAACAGAGAGUUCAACAAACGAGCUGUGAACAGUCUCACAACCUGUGGAAUUUGCUUCUAAAUGCAGUUGCAAAACAGAGAGCUUCACAAGUGAGUUGUGGUUUCUACCACAACCUAUUGGGGAUUUUUUCCAUGGGCUGUGAAAGUUUCCAAGAGCAGUUACUAAUCUCUUUUAUGACUGAUUUAAAGAGAUUAAAAUUAAGGAGAAAUUGAAGGAAGUUAUUGAAGGGAAGUAACUACUCUCCUAAAAAAGAGGAAUUAGUGGAAAUGGUGGGGAGUUGGAAAAAAAAACGUGGAAAGGGAGAUAAAAGUUGGAAUUCACGUGCAGGGCCUUCUUCAUCUUCUUCUUCUGCAGCUUUUUCAUACUUUUGUUUUUGAACUUCCUUUACAUUAUGCAGAACUAAUUUUCCAUUUGUUAGAGGAUUGAUGUAGUACUUUUGAUUAUACUUUCUGAACAUUUUCAAUUGAUGUUGUUUAAUUUUAAUUAUCCUUGUGUUCUAUUUAUGUUUUAAUGUCUAUUCUAUGAGCAGUUUCACAAUUGGGAGAUUGGUAAUUGCUUGCGUUUAUAAAUAGAACAGAUUAGAUGUUGUCACAAUUGGGAAAUUGGACACAACUAGUUAGUUUGAAAUUGAG